rnacentral:piRNA from 1 species
ACCCAAAAUAUGAUGCAGCUGACCCCAAA